rnacentral:lncRNA from 1 species
GAUUACAUACACGGAACUCAGUUCCUAAGGACGGUUCCAAUGAAACAACCCGCCAUGUACUCCUACAUAGCCUUUCACCGGUACCUUUACCAAAUCAGGUUCAACCACACAACCUUUACUUACUGAACACAUUCUCACAAUUCUGUUCAUCACCCAGAUGACAGACCAUACACAACUCUAAGCAUAGCAUGCAUAGCAGGA